rnacentral:rRNA from 1 species
CCUACGGGUGGCAGCAGUGAGGAAUAUUGGUCAAUGGACGAGAGUCUGAACCAGCCAAGUAGCGUGAAGGAUGACUGCCCUAUGGGUUGUAAACUUCUUUUAUAUGGGAAUAAAACGUUCCACGUGUGGGAUUUUGUAUGUACCAUAUGAAUAAGGAUCGGCUAACUCCGUGCCAGCAGCCGCGGUAAUACGGAGGAUCCGAGCGUUAUCCGGAUUUAUUGGGUUUAAAGGGAGCGUAGGUGGAUUGUUAAGUCAGUUGUGAAAGUUUUCGGCUCAACCGUAAAAUUGCAGUUGAAACUGGCAGUCUUGAGUACAGUAGAGGUGGGCGGAAUUCGUGGUGUAGCGGUGAAAUGCUUAGAGAUCACGAAGAACUCCGGUUGCGAAGGCAGUUCACUGGACUGCAACUGACACUGAGGCUCGAAAGUGUGGGUAUCAAACAGGAUUAGAUACCCGUGUAGUC